UCUUAAAAAGUAUAGCUAGUAUAAAUUUAAAAAAUACGGACAUACUUCGCACGUGGAUGGAUUACUGUUAUAGGUGAGAAGAUGGGAAGGUAAAUGGGAAAUUUAAUGUAUAUCUGUAUAAUCAGUUCGAUUAAUAGUGUUGCUUUGUCAACAAUAGGGAACAAGGGGGGAAAAAGGCAGUAAUAUAUUUUUUACUAAUAUCUAUAUUUCGUGUAUUUUUUUCGUUUUUCCCAUUUAUUGAGAAUACUCAUGAGUAAAUCCUUAAAUGACUUAUCUAAAUACCACCUCAGGAGAAUUCCCUUUCAGAAAAGGUGUUAAACUUGAUACUUCGGAGCAAGAUUUUUGG